UAAGGCACGAAUUAACUUAAUUAGGCUAUUGUAAUGCCUAGGAGCGCUUAUCUGACACUACAGUGCGCAUAUGAGGAUUUUCGGGAAAUCUGUGGGAUGUUAAACGAUAACGAACAAAAACUGCACAAAAUACCAACAACGCCGACAAAUAUUAAAUUUUUACGAUAUAUUUUAGCUUCGUAAUUAAAAUUUUACAUCUGUAGUCGAAACCGAAUCGAAAAGCGGACUAAAAACGGCGACGACACAUUUUAUGCGAUUUUUAUUGUUAUCGACAGAAGAACGCUCCGAACGCGACUACUGAUUCUAUUUGUUCAUAAUGUGACCCUAUAAAUUUAUUUCACGACAUUACGGUGAAUUCGGGUUUUGAAAACGGGUUCGUAGGAUUAGCGGGCCACUUAUACACGAUAUUGGGCUUGUUGGCCUUGGGCCCAAGCCCAUUAGGGAAACCUAGUAUUUAAAACUAGAGAAACCCUAGUUCCUCAUUUUUACACCUGCGCACACAACGAUCCCCUCCUCUACUCUCCUUCUCCUUCAAGAGUGAAACCCUAAUCCCAAGUUCAGAUCAACAGCCAUAUAUGAAGUCCUUCCCUCAUAUUAAUUUUGCUUUCUCUGUUAAAUUAAAGAACAUCCACACACAAAUAACACUUUAACAUCUUCACAAACUUCUGAUUCACAAGGCAAACCACCAUACUCACCUGCUACCCCCUAACCCCUCCCUCUCGAUCCCCUCGGUCAGGUGACCGGAGCCGGACAUGGGCAUAUCGGCGGACCUCCUCGUCCGUUCGACUUCACCGACGAGACACCCACCCCCAAAUCACACCACCCUCCUUCGUGACCACACAUCCGAACCCCCAUCUUCUCCACACCCCCCCCGGUCGAUUAGCAUGACGAACCACCACCACCGGCGUCUGGUGGUGGUGCGACGGAGAAACAGAAAGAGAGAGAGAGAGAGGCGAUGUGGGAGAGAAAGGAUGAAAUGAGAGGAACGAUGACGGAGACUGACCGGCGACAGGCCGUCUCUCGGACGACGGCAACGAGCGACGACGGCUAUGGUGGUUGUCAUCAGGUGAGAUUUUAUUCGGAUUUGGGUUUCGGAGCAGCCAUGGUUCAAGUAUGGUUCAGUUCUGCUUGAGUGUUUCGGCUUGUAAGUAGAUUGAUUGUUUUUUUUUCGGGUCAAAUAUGGUUCGGGUGAUGCUCGGGUCGGAUCUAGUCAACAGUGUUUAAGUUUGGUUCGGGUUCUUGUUCGGUUCAACUCAGAUCUGGGGUUCAAGUAGUCACAUCCGCGGGAUCGGGUCACGGUUCGGUUCGAUUCAACAAGUCAGACUGCGGGUCAAAGUUAGUCAACCACAGGUCAUGGUUUGUUUCGGUCAGAUUUGGUUUCGGGUCAAACCGAGUCAACUCGGGUCUACAGACGGUCAACGCAGUCAACAACAGUCAAUGAAGACCCGGAAUGCUUUAGUUGCACGCUAGCGAGUUCACAUUCUUGGAAUGACAUCACAGAAUCACGUUAAACUAGUUUUGCACAGGAAUGUCAAGGUUAAAUUUUUCAAACUACGGAACGGUUGGAAUAGGAGCACCCAUGGGAAUUCGAGUAACUAGCGGCGUUCAUUUUCUAGAAGUCUUAGCUUAUUUGCUUCCGCUGUGCAAUGAAGAUACCGGUCCAGUCACGCCAAGCUCUGAUAUUUCGGGGUGUGACAAAAACGUCCCCGAAUAGUUUCCUUCUUUGCAUGGCAAACUGCUCGUUGGUGCCGCUGCGGAGCUUCUUGAAGUAAUCUAUGCUUUCUCCGAUGAGCGGCCAGCCGUAGUGUCCGGGAAUGGAUGAUUUUUGUGUGAAAAAAUGGUGCAAAAUGAAGAUGGUGAUGAUGGGCAAAAGUGUUGAAGAGAUUAGCAGGAGGGUGUCCAUUGUUAUUUGAGAGGUGUUUAUGCCUUGAGUGUGUGCUUGUGUUGGAUAAAUGUGUGUGUGUAUAUAUAUAUUGUGUAUAUGUAGGAAGACUGAUAAGGUUAUGGGGGAAGAUGACAGAUUGUAGUAUAUAAUGGAAAGAAAGGACAAUAGUGAGAAUAAUAAGAAGCCAAAUUAAGUUGAAUAACAAA